rnacentral:ncRNA from 1 species
AUGAGGAGGGCAUAAUAAUCGACGAAAUGCUUCGUGGAGUUGAAAAUAAACAUAGAUCCGGAGAUUCCAAAAUAGGGCGACCUAUCAAACUGCUGCUGAAUCCAUGGACAGGCAAGAGACAACCUGGGGAACUGAAACAUCUUAGCAACCAGAGGAAAAGAAAGCAAGAGCGAUUCCCGUAGUUGUGGCGAGCGAAAUGGGAGCAGCCUAAACCGUGAAAACAGAGUUGUGGGAGAGCAAUACAAGCGUCGUGCUGCUAGGCGAAGCAGCCAAAAUGCUGCACCCUAGAUCUUUAUACUCCGAUCCCUUUCCCGAAAUUAACACAUAGCGAAACUUUAGUUCCCAAGCUACCUUUUUGUUGGGUUCGAAAUCGAAAGGGCAUCAUGCGGAAGCUUAA